AGCGAACGCUGGCGGCAGGCCUAACACAUGCAAGUCGAACGAACUCUUCGGAGUUAGUGGCGGACGUGUGAGUAACACGUGGGAACGUGCCCUUAGGUUCGGUAUAACUCAGGGAAACUUGUGCUAAUACCGAAUGUGCUCUUCGGGGGAAAGAUUUAGGGCCUUUAGGGGGGCCCGGGUCUGAUUCGCUAGUUGGAGAGGUAAAGGCUCACUAUGGCGGGGAUCAGGAGCUGGUGUGAGAGGAAGCUCAGGCGCAUUGGGACAGCGACACGGCCCAAACGCGUACGAGCGGCGGCAGAGGGGAAGCUAGCGCAGGAAGCGAGAGCCUGACGCGGCGAGGCCGCGAGAAUGACGAAGGGGUUAGGAUUGUAAAAUGCUUGCACCGGAGACGGUAAGAACGGAACCCGUAGAGGAAGCCCCGGCUAACAUCGU
rnacentral:rRNA from 1 species